AGAGUUUGAUCCUGGCUCAGAUUGAACGCUGGCGGCAUGCUUUACACAUGCAAGUCGAACGGUAACAGGCCGCAAGGUGCUGACGAGUGGCGAACGGGUGAGUAAUGCAUCGGAACGUGCCCAGUCGUGGGGGAUAACGCAGCGAAAGCUGUGCUAAUACCGCAUACGAUCUAUGGAUGAAAGCGGGGGACCGUAAGGCCUCGCGCGAUUGGAGCGGCCGAUGUCAGAUUAGCUAGUUGGUGGGGUAAAGGCCCACCAAGGCGACGAUCUGUAGCUGGUCUGAGAGGACGACCAGCCACACUGGGACUGAGACACGGCCCAGACUCCUACGGGAGGCAGCAGUGGGGAAUUUUGGACAAUGGGCGCAAGCCUGAUCCAGCAAUGCCGCGUGCAGGAAGAAGGCCUUCGGGUUGUAAACUGCUUUUGUACGGAACGAAACGGUCUGGGUUAAUACCUCGGGCUAAUGACGGUACCGUAAGAAUAAGCACCGGCUAACUACGUGCCAGCAGCCGCGGUAA
rnacentral:rRNA from 1 species